AAAAAACCUUAGACUAAAACGCUAUGGGUAGAUAGGAGCAACCGUAUAUUUCGAACCCCCACACACAGACACUGACAGUCCUUCCCUUACUCUUUUCUCUUGCCUUCCCUCGUUUCUCUUCCGCCGUGUCUCACACACGCCGCCGCCGCGUCUCACACAGUCCGCCGCCGCCGCCGCUGCCGCCACCCAUCUCCUAUUCUUGUGUUAGAUCUACUCUCUCUCUCUGCCUCACACUCCUCAAACUAUGGCAGCCUAGCCACCUUCUGCCGCCCCUUCCACUUUGGCGACCUCCCACCUACGAUUCCAACUCCGGCUAUAUCCUAUAAUUCAGCAGUGGUGUGAAUCAGCUUGUGUGUUGGAGUUUGAGGCUAUAAACUACUCUUGUAAAAAGCCAACAAUGGUGUCCUCUGCAAGUUCAACUUCCUCUACUUCAAGCUCAAGCACGAGUUCACAAACUACGAUUUCUACUCGUGGAGUUAAUCCUUUGUUGCUGCUUCUGUCUAACAGGCAAGCAUGAUGACAGUGAAACUAGAUUACAACAACUAUUUGGUUUGGAGACAUCAAAUUGAGGUGAUUUUGGAAGCUUACUCAAUGAUCAACUUCAUUGAAGAUAAUCUUGAAGCUCCGAAUCCUUUUCUUAAGGAUAGCUCAGAGAAUUAUACCACUGAAGCUAAUCCUGAGUAUAUUCAACGGAGGAAUCGUGAGCAAGCAUUGUUCACAUUUAUCAAUUUUACUCUCUCUCCAUCAAUCUUGGCCCUCACAGUUGGUCAGAAAUCUGGUAGAGGAGUCUGGAAGAUUCUAAACAAACAUUUUGCUUCAGUUUCUCGAUCUCACAUUCUUAGCUUGAGAAAUGAGUUGAUGAGUCUUAAGAAAGGUUCAGAGAGUAUGAACACUUUCUUUCAAUGAAUCAAAGAAAUUCGUGAUAAACUUGGUGCUGUGGCAGUUUGUGUUGAUGAUGAGGAGCUUAUUCACUUAGCUCUUGAAGCUUUGCCUCCAGAAUAUGAUGCCUUUUGCUCAGCCAUAUGAACCAGAAAUGAUGUAGUUACUCUUGAAGAGUUGAACACUAUUAAGUGUUGAAGAAAGAUCAAUCAAGAAAAGGUCUAAUUUUCGAGAUUAUUUUUUAUUUACUAUGGCUGUUAAUCAAUUCAAUCAAUCCUUCAAUAGAGGAAGAGGAAGGAAUGGCAACAAUCGUGGUCGUGGUAAUGGAAGAGGUAACAACAAUGGCCAAUUCUCUGGUGGUCAAUCUACUUAAUUUCCUAAUGGCCAUUCUCAGUUUUUUGGCCAAUCCUACAAUGGUCAAGGUCAGUUUUCCCCUUCACAGUUUCAAUCCAAGUCUAAUUUUCAACAAGGCCAAAGACUUGUUUGUCAGAUAUAUGAUAAGAAUGGCUAUACUACUUUGGAUUGUUACCAUAGGAUGAAUUUUGCGUAUCAAGGGAGACACCCUCUAGCUAAGCUUGCAUCAAUGGCUGCAAGUUCAAUGGUUGCAAACUCUUGCUCUAAUCCAAACCAGAAUUGGUUCACUGACACUGGUGCUUUUGAUCACAUUACACUAGACUUGUCUCAGUUCUCUAUUCAUCAACAAUCUACAGCUGGUGAGACUGUUACAAUGGGCAAUGGACAAGAAUUGCCUGUCACUCAUAUUGGUAAUGGUAAUCUUCUCGCUCCAUUUCACAAUUUUAAUCUUAAUAACAUUCUUAGCGUACCCCAGAUUGGUUCAAAUUUACUUUCAGUACAUAAACUUUGUCUACAAAAUAAUACAUUUUGUUAUUUUGAUGCCUAUCAAUUCUCAAUUCAGGAUUUACCUACGGUGAAGGUCCUAUACAAAGGGUUGAGUAAAGAUGGUGUUUAUCCCAUUCCACCUAUUGCUUCUUUUUAAUCUUCACCUACAUCCUUUAUCAAUUCAAGUUGCUUUGUUGCUGUUUCUGCACAAGCUUUACUUUGGCAUCAAAGGCUUGGGCAUCCUUGUUCCAAGAUAUUGCAUUCUGCCUUAUCCUCUAUCAAUUCAAGUUGCCUUAUCUAAUGUACCCUCUGUUAUUAUUUUUGGUUCUAGUGAUAUUUGUUCACAAUGUGUUUCUUGUAUAAGUGCUAAAUGCACAAACUUUCUUUUCCAAAACAUGUAUCUAGUACUACUUUUACUCUGGAAUCAGUUCAUUCUGAUGUUUGGGGCCCUACUCCUAUUGUAUCUGUACUUGAACACAAGUUUUAUGUGAUAUUUGUUGAUGA